rnacentral:tRNA from 1 species
GGUGCUAUGGCUCAAUGGUAGAGCACUCACCUAGCAUGUGUGAGGUACUGGGUUCAAUCCUCAACACCA